GAUGAACGCUAGCGGGAGGCCUAACACAUGCAAGCCGAGCGGUAUUUGUUCUUCGGAACAGAGAGAGCGGCGCACGGGUGCGGAACACGUGUGCAACCUGCCUUUAUCUGGGGGAUAGCCUUUCGAAAGGAAGAUUAAUACCCCAUAAUAUAUUGAGUGGCAUCAUUUGAUAUUGAAAACUCCGGUGGAUAGAGAUGGGCACGCGCAAGAUUAGAUAGUUGGUGAGGUAACGGCUCACCAAGUCAAUGAUCUUUAGGGGGCCUGAGAGGGUGACCCCCCACACUGGUACUGAGACACGGACCAGACUCCUACGGGAGGCAGCAGUGAGGAAUAUUGGACAAUGGGUUAGCGCCUGAUCCAGCCAUCCCGCGUGAAGGACGACGGCCCUAUGGGUUGUAAACUUCUUUUGUAUAGGGAUAAACCUACUCUCGUGAGAGUAGCUGAAGGUACUAUACGAAUAAGCACCGGCUAACUCCGUG
rnacentral:rRNA from 1 species